CUUAGCAAAAUAAUUUAAAGAUUUAUUCAUGUUACAGCAUGUAUGCUUUUUAUUUUCCAGAUAUUUCAUAAUAAAGACAUAUCACAUUUUUUUUUCUUGCAUUAGUUGAUAAACAUCCUUUGCCCCCAAUUUUGGUCACUAUGAAUAAUGAUUUUUAAUAUUCAUGUGCAAGUUAUGACUGAACAAGUUUUCCUUGGGUAUACAUGUGUUUGUAAAUAGCUAAGUGAUGUUGUGCCUUAUUUUGCAAGAAGUGCAUAUAUAUAUAUAUGUACAGACACACACUAUACGAACAGUCAAUAAGUCCCUUUAGAGUAGGGUAUGGGUUCUACAUUAUCAAACCUGCAAUUGAGUCCAUAUAUCCAUUAUCAAAGGCUGCAAGAGGAAAAAAAGCAACCAGUUGAAUCGUUUUAGGGGGCUGUGAUGUAAAGAGAAUUAGUUACUAAAACCAAAGUCUAUCAUAAACUGCUCAAUUUUAUAUUAGGGAGCAACUAGCUGUUGUUAUAUUUCUAAGUUAGAAUACACUUUAUUUUUAUUUUUGUUGUUGUUGUCAAUCCUCACCCAAAGAUAUUUUUUUCCAUUGAUAAUUUUAGAGAGAGUGGAAAAGGGAGAGAGAGAGACAGAGACACAUAGACUGUUUGCCUCUAGUACAAGAACCCACAACCAAGGUACAUGCCCUUGACUCGAAUCAAACCCACAACACUUCAGUCUGCAGAGUUACACUCUGACCACUGAGCCCACCUAGCCCAGCUAUGGCUCCACAUACACUUUAAUGGGAAAUAAACUGGAUGAGGGCAAAUGACCUGCUACAUUCUUAGGUAACAAAUGAUACUGAGGCUGGAUAUACAGUAAAUCCAAGGAGUAGAGGGUGCAGGAGUAGGAAGGAGUGGGUAAAUGACGGUUAAAAAGAUGACGGUUAAAAAGGGGGAGGAGGGCAUCUAUAAUACUUUCAA